GCUCAACCGAGGAAGUGCUUCGAAAACUGGUAAACUUGAGUGCAGAAGAGGAAAGUGGAACUCCAUGUGUAGCGGUGGAAUGCGUAGACAUAUGGAAGAACACCAGUGGCGAAGGCGGCUUUCUGGUCUGUAACUGACGCUGAGAUUCGAAAGCAUGGGUAGCAAACAGGAUUAGAUACCCUGGUAGUCCAUGCCGUAAACGAUGAGUGCUAAGUGUUGGAGGGUUUCCGCCCUUCAGUGCUGCAGCUAACGCAUUAAGCACUCCGCCUGGGGAGUACGAUCGCAAGAUUGAAACUCAAAGGAAUUGACGGGGGCCCGCACAAGCGGUGGAGCAUGUGGUUUAAUUCGAAGCAACGCGAAGAACCUUACCAGGUCUUGACAUACCAUGAAAAGCUUAGAGAUAAGUCUUUCCCUUCGGGGACAUGGAUACAGGUGGUGCAUGGUUGUCGUCAGCUCGUGUCGUGAGAUGUUGGGUUAAGUCCCGCAACGAGCGCAACCCUUAUUAUCAGUUGCCAGCAUUCAGUUGGGCACUCUGGUGAGACUGCCGGUGAUAAACCGGAGGAAGGUGGGGACGACGUCAAAUCAUCAUGCCCCUUAUGACCUGGGCUACACACGUGCUACAAUGGUCGGUACAACG
rnacentral:rRNA from 1 species